rnacentral:rRNA from 1 species
UACGAAGGGGGCUAGCGUUGCUCGGAAUGACUGGGCGUAAAGGGCGCGUAGGCGGAUGGUACAGUCAGAUGUGAAAUUCCCGGGCUCAACCUGGGGGCUGCAUUUGAUACGUAUGAUCUUGAGUGGGGAAGAGGGUCGUGGAAUUCCCAGUGUAGAGGUGAAAUUCGUAGAUAUUGGGAAGAACACCGGUGGCGAAGGCGGCGACCUGGUCCUUAUACUGACGCUGAGGCGCGAAGGCGUGGGGAGCGAACGGG